rnacentral:rRNA from 1 species
AAUGAACGCUGGCGGCGUGCUUAACACAUGCAAGUCGAGCGAGAAAGUCUCCUUCGGGAGGCGAGUAAAGCGGCGGACGGGUGCGUAACACGUGGAUGACCUGCCUGAGAGUGGGGAAUAACUUGGGGAAACUCGAGCUAAUACCGCAUACGCUCGUACGGUUGCGGCCGUGCGAGGAAAGUUGGCCUCUGUUUACAAGCUGACGCUCACAGAGGGGUCCGCGCCUGAUUAGCUAGUUGGUGGGGUAACGGCCCACCAAGGCGACGAUCAGUAGCCGGCCUGAGAGGGUGAUCGGCCACACUGGGACUGAGACACGGCCCAGACUCCUACGGGAGGCAGCAGUGGGGAAUAUUGGACAAUGGGGGAAACCCUGAUCCAGCAACGCCGCGUGGAGGAUGAAGGCCUUCGGGUCGUAAACUCCUGUCAGUAGGGACGAAAAGCCCUUGGUCAACAGCCUUGGGUCAUGACGGUACCUGCAGAGGAAGCCCCGGCUAACUCCGUG